rnacentral:rRNA from 1 species
AGUGAACGCUGGCGGUAGGCCUAACACAUGCAAGUCGAACGGCAGCACAGUAAGAGCUUGCUCUUACGGGUGGCGAGUGGCGGACGGGUGAGGAAUACAUCGGAAUCUACUUUUUCGUGGGGGAUAACGUAGGGAAACUUACGCUAAUACCGCAUACGACCUACGGGUGAAAGCAGGGGAUCUUCGGACCUUGCGCGAUUGAAUGAGCCGAUGUCGGAUUAGCUAGUUGGCGGGGUAAAGGCCCACCAAGGCGACGAUCCGUAGCUGGUCUGAGAGGAUGAUGAGCCACACUGGAACUGAGACACGGUCCAGACUCCUACGGGAGGCAGCAGUGGGGAAUAUUGGACAAUGGGCGCAAGCCUGAUCCAGCCAUACCGCGUGGGUGAAGAAGGCCUUCGGGUUGUAAAGCCCUUUUGUUGGGAAAGAAAAGCAGCAGGUUAAUACCCCGCUGUUCUGACGGUACCCAAAGAAUAAGCGCCGGCUAACUUCGUG